GAUUCUAUGGUCUCGCUUGUAGUCGGCGCAGCGGUGCCGCGGUGCCAGUGAUUGGGUCGGGCUGGCCGUCAGCGUUUCUCGACGAGGAGCGGGAGAUGUCCAGGAGUCGUCUGGGCCACCUGAAGCCGUGCUGCGCCUGGUGCGAGGACAACCACAAGGACCUGAGGCACGCCAUAACUGUUGGCCACGUGCGCAAGGAGUUCUGCUCCGAGAACUGCUUGCACGAGUUCAAGCGUGUCUAUCUCAAGGUGGCCUGUGCCCUGUGUGAGAUAGUAAUCCGGGGCGCAUCGGUGCACCUAGAGGACCAUGGGCAGCUACGCGAGUUUUGCAGCACCGAGUGCCUAGACAAGUACCGCUUGAGAGACCCCACAGCCAUGGCCACUGCAGACCGGUCCAGCAAGCUCAAGCCUCAUGGGGGAAGCCAGAUUCAAUACCAGUAUGAAAGCUCAGGCUACUUUGACUGGGACGAGUACCUGAAGGAGACCAACUCCCAACCUGCACCGUCAACGUGCUUCAAGCAGAACCCGGUGCCACCCAAGAAUGAGUUUUGUGCGGGCAUGAAGCUGGAGGCCCAGGACCCGCGCAAUGUGACCUCCACGUGCAUCGCAACGGUGGUGGGCAUCCAGGGUCCCCGGCUGCGGCUGCGCCUGGACGGGGGAGACAACAAGAACGACUUCUGGCGAUUGGUCGACUCCCAGGAGGUGAAGCCCAUUGGGCACUGCGAGCGGGUCGGGGGAAUGCUGCAGCCGCCAUUGGGUUUUCGCAUGAACGCCUCCUCGUGGCCCAUGUUCCUGCUCAAGACACUCAACAAGGCCGACAUUGCUUCCGAGUCUUACUUCAAGUCGGAACCACCCAGCCCACGGAGCAAUGAAUUCAAAGUGGGCAUGAAGCUGGAGGCACUGGAUCGUAAGAAUCCCCACCUCAUUUGUCCAGCCACCGUUGGCGCAGUCAAAGAUGACAUGCUGUUUGUCACCUUUGACGGCUGGCGAGGGGCCUUUGACUACUGGUGCCGUUUUGACUCCCGUGACAUCUUCCCGGUCGGGUGGUGCCGCCUUAGUGGACACCCUCUCCAGCCACCUGGCAACAAAGGAGCCAAAUACAAGGCCCGGCCAGGCAGUGCAGGCACCACAGUGGUUCCAGCGGCUGCCCUCGGUUCGCCCAGCAUUCCACCGCCUCCCAGGGUGCCCUCACCUCGGAACUCCACCCCAACAGGCAACACGUCCUCCCUGGCACCUGCUUCACCAGCAGCCACGGUGACUCGAGCGCGGACUGCCCUGUCGACAACGGGGUCAGCCUCCAACAACGGGUCUACCAGCAGUGAGACCACACGAGAGCAAGUCAAGCGAGUCAAAUCACCGCAUGUCCUGGUCACUGAGCCUGACACUAGCACAGUGGCUGCCAAGCAGAAUCCCACAGUGUGCGUGUAUGUGAACCACCAAUGCUCCUGCGGGCCAUACCUGGACCCGGCCAAGAUCGGCCAGCUGCCCCUCCAGCUCGGGCCGGGUUCCAUGAACCGGGUGCUGCGCGAGGCAGUGCAGGCAUGUGUGGAUUGCGCCCUCAACGAGAAGAAUGUGUACAACCUGCUGCGCAGGGGUGACGGUAAAGUCAUCAUCAAUGCCACAUUUGACGGUCAGUCACACACGUGCCGCCUACCAGCUGUGGACAAGGUGUCGGCCUUCUGGACCUACCUGGAGAACCUCUUUGAGGAACUGCUCUGCUGCGAGAACUUCUACUCCAGUCAGCCGCUGCAGGGCGGAUGCACCAAGUGCGCCAGCAAGGCCCCCACCAAGCCACGAGUGAUGACGGCAUCUCUGCAGCAGUGGAGCAGUCUUCUGUGGAGGUGGCCAGGGCAGCAACAGUGUCCGCGAGCACCACCCCGAGUGCUGCCAGCUCGGCAGCCUCAAAACGGCGCCUGUCUUCAGAGGCUUCACUCCCGCCGCAGGCUUGCGCACCAGCUAAGAUCGCCUGUGUCCGCAGCAACUCCACCGACACCGAAGCCAGCUCAACAACAAACCAUCACUCCGAAAGGCCGCAGAGGCCCGUAGGGGUUACCGUGGCUACAGCGCCAAGCUCCCCUGCUGCCAAGCCUGGUCCACCGCCCUCGUCCCCUCCUUGCGAGUGGAGCAUUGAGGACGUGAUCCGGUACAUAUCCAGCCUGGAUGCAGCUCUGGCCACACACUCGGACCUCUUUCGGAGACACGAGAUUGAUGGCCGAGCAUUGCUGCUCUUGAACAGUGAUAUGAUGAUGAAGUACAUGGGCCUCAAGCUGGGGCCUGCUCUUAAGAUCUGCAACAUCAUUGACAAAAUCAAGGGCAAGAAAGCACUGUGACACACCCUGCUCUCUGCACUUCUGCUGCCGCCGCCGGUCUGUGCAUUCUGCAUCGUCGUUUUGUGAGCCAUUUGUGCUUUGGGCCCUUAAGUGCAGGACGUGCACAAGUUGUG
rnacentral:misc_RNA from 1 species